rnacentral:rRNA from 1 species
UACGUAGGGUGCGAGCGUUAAUCGGAAUUACUGGGCGUAAAGCGUGCGUAGACGGUUAUGUAAGUCGGAUGUGAAAGCCCCGGGCUCAACCUGGGAAUUGCAUUCGAGACUGCAUAGCUAGGAUGCGGAAGAGGGAAGCGGAAUUUCCGGUGUAGCGGUGAAAUGCGUAGAUAUCGGAAGGAACAUCAGUGGCGAAAGCGGCUUCCUGGUCCAGCAUCGACGUUCAGGCACGAAAGCGUGGGGAGCAAACAGG